rnacentral:pre_miRNA from 1 species
CAAAUACUCCCUCCGUCCGAAAAUACUUGUCAUCAAAAUGGAUAAAAGGAAAUGUAUCUAGACGUAUUUUAGUUUUAGAUACAUCUCUUUUUAUCCAUUUUGAUGACAAGUAUUUUCGGACAGAGGGAGUAUGUA